AUUAUAUUAUUGAAAUUUAUUGAAUAUAUACUUGAAAAAUAAUUUUGAGAUCACAUUCAAUGAUACUCUUCAUGCCGCAUUGUUUCUUCCUUUAAUGUGUAUAUGUAACACAAUAUCAUUAAUCGUCAAUUCAUAGUGAAAGGAUCACCUUUGAAAUCGAAAAUAUAUAGUUUCAAGCUGGCCACAGGAUAUUCACACCUAAUUCAAAUGCACAACUUGUUAUCUCUGCGAAACCACCUAUUUUCUUUGCAAUUCGGUUCAUCCAUUGAACUUCGUCAUCCAAGCUCCUUAUUUGCGAUUUACGACCCAACCACUGUAAUAAAAAACUCAUAUGCUACUGGUUACUCUACACUCAAAGAAUAAAUAUGAAAAAGUCUUUGUGUGUUAUCAACAAAAUAAAAAACAAUCAAGGGGUAUAUUUAUUCCAAACAUCUGCAGUUGUUGCAAGUCUCUUCUGUAUAGCCGACCAAAGAAUAAAUCUAUGUCUAGGAUGUAUUCUUGGAUACAUGUUUAAGUAUUUUCAAGGGACUUUAGGGUGGAGAGGCAGAGAAGAGAUAUAUAUCUUAUGAGUUGAGUAACUUUUCUCUAAGUUGAACUCUAUUAAGUUGUUUUUUUAUUUUCUCAUGACUAUAUUUCCCAAUUAUUUAUUGAUCUCUAGACUCUAGAACCUUCCUCACCUGCCAUGAAGCAUUCUUAGGUAUCUAGAUUUAGCUUAUGUCUCCCUGCUUGAUGUAGUAGUUGUGGACCCAUUGAAGCCAUAUGCAAUCCCAUAGGAGAUUAAGGAUUGCUACAGAAUUCUAGGUGAAUAGAUUUGUUACAUUAAUGUGUCCACUUACAAACCUUGGUAUACAUAUUUUUGUCCAAGAAACUAGAGAUUUCUUUGAGACUGUCACGCACCACAACAAAGUCCUACAAAGUUGUUCAAGUGCCUUGAUGGCUUUCUAAGAGAUGAGAAAUAUUAGAGCUCAAUAAGCAUGCACUUCAAAUAAUAUUUGCUUUAAUUAGUUGUAUCCUUCGUGCAUAUGAUAGUAACUUGGCUGAACAACAUUUGAUUUUAGUCGUGAUCUUCUUAAUCAAGGGAAGGUAUGUAUUGACUCCCAAUUUUUUCGAUGCUAGAGGCACAUCUAGGUAUCUGAGUGGCAAAGUUCCCACAUUGAAUUCCAAGGCAUCUACAAUGCUUUGUUGUGUCUAUAUGCCUCAAAGAAUUUCAUGAAGGCAACAUUCAUUAGGUGACAACCAUUAUUUCAGUCCUUCAGUACAUCAACAAGUCACCAAGAAAAAAAAUGUGGAUGCUAUUAAAUCUUUCAAACUUGGGAUGAUAGUGAUACAUUUUUUUCCAUUUGUUUGAAUUAUCUCCCAAGUAUUCUAUAGCCAAGACAAAGAUAUCGGGGGACAUAAAAUCCCUUUGUAUAAUCCCUCUCUGUCCUUUAAAUGUGUUAAUAAUCCUUCCAUUCAAGAGAAAUGAAUAUGACAUUGUGGAAACACACAAGAUGAUCCAAUGAAAAAUUUUUUCAAGGAACCCAGAUCACAUAAGAACUUCACUAAGAAUCCCAAUUCCAAGGUGUCAUAGGCAUUCUUUAGAUCCAGCUUGAGUAGACAUCUAGCUUAUUUCCCUUUUCUGUUUUAGCUCUUGAAUAUUUCAUAACUUACAUAAUGUUAUAACCUGUACUUCUACCCUCCACAAAAUUUUAUUGAGCUUUUACAACCAAUCCACAAAUCACAAGCUUUCUUCUUCUUGGUAGAACCUUAGAUUUGUAUAAUGUAAUGGAACAAGCAAUGGUUAUGUAAUCUUUAACCAUUAUUGGAGCUUUAACUUUUGGAUUUGAAGUUACUGAUGUAGAAUUAAUAGCAGGUCAUAGACUACCAUAUUGAUAGAAAUGUCCUACAAUUAUAAUGACAUAUUUUUUUUAAACUACUCUCAGUUCUUAGUAAAAAAAUUCAAUUGGGAAUCCAUCAACUUUUAGUGCUUUGUCUUUGGGUAUUAUCUUUAAUGGCCUCCAUUAUCUUAUCAGUAGUGGCCACUUUAAUGAUCUCUAUUUGUUGAAUGAUAGAGACACAUGGUCCACCUCUAACCACAUCAUUAUUGAAAUAUCUCAAUUCAGUAGCUUUAUUCACCAUCAAAUCCUUAAAGACAUAGAUAAACUCAAAUUUAAUACGUAGUGGUUCUGCAACUUUAUUUCAUAUUCAGUGUAAAUGGAAGAAAUAGUGUUGUGGCUAAUUCUUAUCUUCCACUGGGCAUGGAAGUACUUGGAAUGUCAGUCCCAAUACGCAAUUUAAAUUACUCUAGCUUUUUGCCAAAGUGCAACCUCUUCAUUAUUUAUCCAUUUUUCCAUCUUUAUUAAUAUCUAUUUUCAUGGUCUAUGAGUGUUUAAUCCAGAUUACUUGUUUGUAGUUGUCCUUGAAUGAUUGAUACGUCCAAACGUACACCUCAAUUAUGAAUUACCAUUGUUGAAGUCAAGUAUAAAAUUCAAUUGGAGUUGAAGUCGACCCACAAGGAAUUUAUGUUACAACUCGAACCAUCGUUACUUAUGAACAAAAAACACCGUGAGUAGUUGGGGACCACUGUCGCACCAGAUUGGGGUGAUGAUGCUACGACGACGGGGCACUAGCUGGAUAGGAGCGCCAGAGCGGGAAUGUUAGGGCACAACUUAAUGAUGCAAAGUCUUCUUUCUUAAUUAUUCACUAAGUGCCCAAAAGAGGCAAAAAUCACCUCAGAAGGCCUCAAAAUGAUGCUCUAGGCUUGGGAAGAAAGGAGAAAUAGAUUUCUAGCAUAACGUCGACACAACUCACUGAUUCUCGACUAAGGUUUUUGCUUGUGAUGUGAAUUGAAUCCUAUUGGUAUCUCAACAAAGUGAGUUGGAUGUCGUAGUCGCGGCUGAAGGGACACAAGCAAGGAAAAUUGGAACUGAGAAGGUUCCAAUUGGUAUCUGGCCUUAGAGGUUGUAUGAAUUUAUGAAUGAUGAGCUAAUGGUCACCCAUGAAAUGAAUUAAAAAAUCUGUCCAAAGGAGAAUGCGGAGGAUAUGAGCAGAAUCUGUAGAACUGACCACCUACGGAGCCCAGGAUGAUCCAUCGUGACUGUUACGAUCCGUAGGUAGCACCGUAGUUAGAAGAAAAUGGCUGCUGAAGGAAGUUGGAGAAGUCUAACCAAGUGUGGGACUACGGAAGCUCAUGAAGGACCGUCAUAGCCAUGACCAUCUGUCCUGCAUAUUCGUCGUGGUUGCCAGAGAGUAGUUCCAGUAUCCAAUUUUGAGAAGUUUCUAAGUGUUGUGGAAUAGAACCCCUCGACGGACCGUCGUGCUUGCAAUGGUCCUUCAUAACUGUCCGUCGAGGGUAACAAAAAGUUGAUGAAGAAAGUAGUAGAAAAUUUUGCAAAGUAUGGAAUGACGGAGCCCACGAUGGUCCAUCGUGUCAGUAACGGUCCAUUGCAGGGAUCGUUGAUUCAGACGCGGUUUGGACAGAUUUUCCUUAAAUAGAGUCCUUCUUUUAUUAUGUUUUAUUUUAUUAUAAAUAGUUUUAAAAAAACCUCAUUUUUAAGGUAAGACUU